rnacentral:rRNA from 1 species
CGCUGAAAGCCUGGUGCUUGCACCGGGUGGAUGAGUGGCGAACGGGUGAGUAACACGUGAGUAACCUGCCCCUGACUUCGGGAUAAGCCCGGGAAACUGGGUCUAAUACCGGAUACGACUGCCGGACGCAUGUCUGGUGGUGGAAAGUUUUUUCGGUUGGGGAUGGGCUCGCGGCCUAUCAGUUUGUUGGUGAGGUAAUGGCUCACCAAGACGACGACGGGUAGCCGGCCUGAGAGGGCGACCGGCCACACUGGGACUGAGACACGGCCCAGACUCCUACGGGAGGCAGCAGUGGGGAAUAUUGCACAAUGGGGGAAACCCUGAUGCAGCGACGCAGCGUGCGGGAUGACGGCCUUCGGGUUGUAAACCGCUUUCAGCAGGGAAGAAGCGCAAGUGACGGUACCUGCAGAAGAAGUACCGGCUAACUACGUGCCAGCAGCCGCGGUAAUACGUAGGGUACGAGCGUUGUCCGGAAUUAUUGGGCGUAAAGAGCUCGUAGGUGGUUGGUCACGUCUGCUGUGGAAACGCAACGCUUAACGUUGCGCGUGCAGUGGGUACGGGCUGACUAGAGUGCAGUAGGGGAGUCUGGAAUUCCUGGUGUAGCGGUGAAAUGCGCAGAUAUCAGGAGGAACACCGGUGGCGAAGGCGGGACUCUGGGCUGUAACUGACACUGAGGAGCGAAAGCAUGGGGAGCGAACAGGAUUAGAUACCCUGGUAGUCCAUGCCGUAAACGUUGGGCACUAGGUGUGGGGGGGCAUUCCACGUUCUCCGCGCCGUAGCUAACGCAUUAAGUGCCCCGCCUGGGGAGUACGGUCGCAAGGCUAAAACUCAAAGGAAUUGACGGGGGCCCGCACAAGCGGCGGAGCAUGCGGAUUAAUUCGAUGCAACGCGAAGAACCUUACCAAGGCUUGACAUACACCGGACCGUCCUGGAAACAGGUCCUCUUCUUUGAAGCUGGUGUACAGGUGGUGCAUGGUUGUCGUCAGCUCGUGUCGUGAGAUGUUUGGGUUAAGUCCCGCAACGAGCGCAACCCUCGUUCUAUGUUGCCAGCAUGUUGAUGGUGGGAACUCAUAGGAGACUGCCGGGGUCAACUCGGAGGAAAGGGUGGGGAUGACGUCAAAUCAUCAUGCCCUU